rnacentral:rRNA from 1 species
AGUGAACGCUGGCGGUAGGCCUAACGCAUGCAAGUCGAACGGCAGCACAGUAAGAGCUUGCUCUUACGGGUGGCGAGUGGCGGACGGGUGAGGAAUACAUCGGAAUCUACUUUUUCGUGGGGGAUAACGUAGGGAAACUUACGCUAAUACCGCAUACGACCUACGGGUGAAAGCAGGGGAUCUUCGGACCUUGCGCGAUUGAAUGAGCCGAUGUCGGAUUAGCUAGUUGGCGGGGUAAAGGCCCACCAAGGCGACGAUCCGUAGCUGGUCUGAGAGGAUGAUCAGCCACACUGGAACUGAGACACGGUCCAGACUCCUACGGGAGGCAGCAGUGGGGAAUAUUGGACAAUGGGCGCAAGCCUGACCCAGCCAUACCGCGUGGGUGAAGAAGGCCUUCGGGUUGUAAAGCCCUUUUGUUGGGAAAGAAAAGCAGCAGGUUAAUACCCCGCUGUUCUGACGGUACCCAAAGAAUAAGCACCGGCUAACUUCGUG